rnacentral:lncRNA from 1 species
CAAAUUAUGUCCAUGAGUUUUUUUUGUCCAUCGUAAGUCGUCUGUUGAUAUUUAUUCUAUAGAUUGUUCAUCGAAUCAACAGAACAAAGUUGUCCAUUAGUUAGUUCAAUAGACAAUCCUCGUCAGACCAAGUAAACUAUGAGAUGGACGAUUUAUAUUUUUGUGAGAUGUUCUACAUUCGUCCAGUUUAUGUUUUUAUAGACCAGAUCUAUACCAAAUUGUGUCCAUGAGUUUUUUUGUCCAUCGUAAGUCGUCCUCUGACAUUUAUUCUAGAGAUUGUUCAUCGGAUCUACAGAAUAAAGUUGUCCAUCAGUUAGUCCAAUAGACAAUCCUCCUCAGCCUAGGUAAACUAUGAGAUGGACCAUUUAUAUUUUUGUGAGAUUUUCUACUAUUUGUCCUUUCCUUUUGUUAUUUAUUGAUGGACAAAUUUUGAUCUUUAGGAUCUCUAUAUGACGACACAACAUAGCAAAGGACAACAUAGCAAUGGACAACCAAAAAUGUGUUUUUCUCAUUUUUCAGCACCGACCACUUCCAGAAAAUCUCUGUUACUUGUCCUCCAUUAAUACUCAUC